rnacentral:tRNA from 2 species
GACAACGUGUCCGAGUGGUUAAGGAGAUAGACUUGAAUCGUUACGAUUGGAUAUCUAUUGGCUUCGGCCUCGCAGGUUCGAAUCCUGUCGUUGUCG